GCCAGUAAAUGGGAGUGAAGAGAAAUUCUGGGUUCUGGGGAAAUUCUGUUUGCUCUUUGGAAAUGCAAGGAGCUAGACCUUUGCAAACAUUUGGUUGGAUUCCACUGUCAGUCUAUGUAUUAUGCGGUAUUUAUACCUUAGUAUAACUCCUCUGAUUGUCAUUAAUUGUUCAGAUUAAGUCUAGUAUAAGUUCAAUCAGCAUUCUUCUCCAGCACAGCCAACUGCCUCACAGCUCACACUUCAUCUUGUUUUACAUUUUGCAAGGCAUUUGCAUAAUAAAUAUAUGGAGUUAAAUGUGGUGAAUUGAAUUUUUUCUUAAUCUGACUUGCAGUGCUAACGUUGAGUAGCAGAUGUGCCUAUUACCUACCAUCUGAGCAGCUGAAUCAGUCACAGCACGUACACUUCCCACUGUUUUUUAUCACUUCUCUUCCUGUUUGUUCUUGUGACUCAACUUAAAAUGAAAUAACUGAAACUUUUGAUUUAGGUCCCGUGCCUUUGUUCGGGAAAAAAAAUGUAUCUUCAAAAAAACACUGGAUCACAUAGCUAUGAUUGCAAAGCACACUUCUUGGUUCUUUGUCUGAGUUAUGCAUUUAUCAUGUUUUAUUAACCGGUUCUAAAUUUUACCCUUUCAAACCCACAAUUGUGUACAAGCCUUGCACUUGCAAGGUUUAUAUUUCACAUAGAUGCUUUUCUGUGAGAAGGGUAACCUUCUGUAAAGCCUGUGUGGAUCUUAGGUUUGGG